rnacentral:rRNA from 1 species
GAGACUCUGUGCGCGUGCAUAUCAAUAAGCGGAGGAAAAGAAACUAACAAGGAUUCCCUUAGUAACGGCGAGUGAAGCGGGAAGAGCUCAAAUUUGAAAUCUUCAAGGUUCUACCUUGACGAAUUGUAGUUUAUAGAAGUGUUUUCUGUUAGUGGAGUGGCAAAAGUUCUUUGGAAUAGGACAUCAUAGAGGGUGAGAAUCCCGUAUUUGGUCAUUCCUUCCUAGCGUUGUGAUACACUUUCGACGAGUCGGAUUGUUUGGGAAUGCAGUCCAAAAUGGGUGGUAAAUUUCAUCUAAAGCUAAAUAUUGGCGAGAGACCGAUAGCGAACAAGUACCGUGAGGGAAAGAUGAAAAGAACUUUGAAAAGAGAGUUAAACAGUACGUGAAAUUGUCAAAAGGGAAGCGUUUGACACCAGUGUUGUUUUUCCGAAAAUCAAUUACGAAUGUUUUGUUUUUGAGGAGUUAUGACUUCAUCGGCUUGCUCCUUUCUUUACGAAACUUUCUUAAUGCACUUUUCGGUUAACAAGUCAACAUCAAUUUCUUUUGCUGUAAAAGGGUCAUUGGAAGGUGGCUUUCUUUUCGGAGAAAGUGUUUAUAGCCUUUGAUCUCUGCAACCGGAGAGAUUGAGGUCUGCAGCGUAGAUCCUUCGGGGUUAGAUACAUUGGUGCUAAGCUAUAGCCUUGUAUAGACAACUUGUUGACUAUGCUCAGUCAUGUAGCUUACUCGCUGAUGCUAUUUUACCUACGCUUAGGAUGUUGACAGCAGUAUAGACUGU